rnacentral:rRNA from 1 species
UACGUAGGGGGCAAGCGUUGUCCGGAUUUAUUGGGCGUAAAGCGCGCGUAGGCGGCAAGAUAUGUCGUGCGUGAAAUCUCCCGGCUUAACUGGGAGGGGCCGUGCGAAACUGCCUGCUUGAGGCCGGAAGGGGAAAGUGGAAUUCCGGGUGUAGUGGUGGAAUACGUAGAUAUCCGGAGGAACACCAGCGGCGAAGGCGGCUUUCUGGUCCGAUUCUGACGCUGAGGCGCGAAAAGCGUGGGGGAGCGAUCCGG